GAAAUGUUAGUCCAAUUUUAAGACAGCUGAUUUCGACUCAGCAGACUAUGAUGCAACUUCAUAAUAUUUC
rnacentral:tRNA from 1 species